rnacentral:rRNA from 1 species
UGGGGAAUCUUCCGCAAUGGACGAAAGUCUGACGGAGCAACGCCGCGUGAGUGAUGACGGCCUUCGGGUUGUAAAGCUCUGUUAAUCGGGACGAAUGGUUCUUGUGCGAAUAGUGCGAGGAUUUGACGGUACCGGAAUAGAAAGCCACGGCUAACUACGUGCCAGCAGCCGCGGUAAUACGUAGGUGGCAAGCGUUGUCCGGAAUUAUUGGGCGUAAAGCGCGCGCAGGCGGAUCAGUUAGUCUGUCUUAAAAGUUCGGGGCUUAACCCCGUGAUGGGAUGGAAACUGCUGAUCUAGAGUAUCGGAGAGGAAAGUGGAAUUCCUAGUGUAGCGGUGAAAUGCGUAGAUAUUAGGAAGAACACCAGUGGCGAAGGCGACUUUCUGGACGAAAACUGACGCUGAGGCGCGAAAGCCAGGGGAGCGAACGGG